GAACGAGGAUAUAUCCUUCGGGAUAUAAGCCGAGUGGCACAAGGGUGAGCAAUGCAUAGAUUACCUACCUUUAGGAUAAGGGCAACUUUGUGAAAACGGAGCUAAUACUUAAUAAUACAAAAGAAAAUAAUUUUCUUUUGUCAAAGGGAGGGUAGCAAUACCUUUCGCCUAGAGAGGGGUUUAUGUCCUAUCAGCUUGUUGGUGGGGUAAUAGCCCACCAAGGCGAAGACGGGUAGCCGGUUUAAGAGGAUGGUCGGCCACACUGGGACUGAGACACUGCCCAGACUUCUACGGAAGGCUGCAGUCGAGAAUCUUUCGCAAUGCCCGAAAGGGUGACGAAGCGACGCCGCGUGGGUGAAGAAGGCCUUCGGGUUGUAAAGCCCUGUCAGGGGUUAUGAAAUGUAAGUGCGCUAAUAUCGUGCUUAUUUGACAAAGGCUCCAAAGGAAGCCACGGCUAACUCUGUGCCAGCAGCCGCGGUAAUACAGAGGUGGCGAGCGUUGUUCGGAAUUAUUGGGCGUAAAGAGCACGUAGGUGGGUUUGCAAGUCAGAUGUGAAAGCCUUCUGUUCAACGGAAGAAUUGCAUCUGAAACUGCUAAUCUUGAGUAUAGGAGGGGAGAAUGGAACUUCUGGUGGAGCGGUGAAAUGCGUAGAUAUCAGAAGGAACGCCGGCGGCGAAAGCGAUUCUCUGGCCUAUUACUGACACUCAGUGUGCGAAAGCUAGGGGAGCAAACGGGAUUAGAUACCCCGGUAGUCCUAGCCGUAAACGAUGGGCACUAAGUAGAGGGAAUUACCUAUAUUCUCUCUGCCGUAGCUAACGCAUUAAGUGCCCCGCCUGGGGAGUACGGCCGCAAGGCUAAAACUCAAAAGAAUUGACGGGGGCUCGCACAAGCGGUGGAGCAUGUGGCUUAAUUCGAUGCAACGCGAAAAACCUUACCGGGGCUUGACAUGAUAGAAGUAGGAACCUGAAAGGGGGACGAACGGUAUCCAGUCCGUAGCUAUUACAGGUGUUGCAUGGCUGUCGUCAGCUCGUGUCGUGAGACGUUGGGUUAAGUCCCCUAACGAGCGAAACCCUUGUUUUUAGUUACCAGCGGGUUAUGCCGGGUACUCUAGAAAGACUGCCGUCGUCAAGACGGAGGAAGGUGGGGAUGACGUCAAGUCAUCAUGGCCCUUAUGCCCCGGGCUGCACACGUGCUACAAUGGUCGGUACAGACGGAAGCGAAGCCGAGAGGUGAAGCGAAUCCUAAAAAGCCGAUCUCAGUUCGGAUUGGAGGCUGAAAUUCGCCUCCAUGAAGUUGGAAUCGCUAGUAAUCGCGGAUCAGCAAUGUCGCGGUGAAUAUGUUCCCGAGCCUUGUACACACCGCCCGUCAAGCCACCCAAGCAGGAUGCACCCGAAAACAUUAUAUCUAACCAGGGCAACUUGGAGGAAAAUGUUGAAGGAGUGUUUUGCGA
rnacentral:rRNA from 1 species